CAGUCGCCGCGGUAAUACAGAGGGUGCGAGCGUUAAUCGGAUUUACUGGGCGUAAAGCGUGCGUAGGCGGCUUUUUAAGUCGGAUGUGAAAUCCCUGAGCUUAACUUAGGAAUUGCAUUCGAUACUGGGAAGCUAGAGUAUAGGAGAGGAUGGUAGAAUUCCAGGUGUAGCGGUGAAAUGCGUAGAGAUCUGGAGGAAUACCGAUGGCGAAGGCAGCCAUCUGGCCUAAUACUGACGCUGAGGUACGAAAGCAUGGGGAGCAAACAGGAUUAGAUACCCCCGUAGUCCCUGUCUCUUAUAC
rnacentral:rRNA from 1 species